GGCGCACGGGUGCGUAACGCGUAUGCAACCUACCUCAUACUGGAGAAUAGCCCUUGGAAACGAGGAUUAAUGCUCCAUAGUAUCACAGAUUCGCAUGUUUUUGUGAUUAAAGAAUUUCGGUAUGAGAUGAGCAUGCGUCCCAUUAGUUAGUUGGUAAGGUAACGGCUUACCAAGACAGCGAUGGGUAGGGGCCCUGAGAGGGGGAUCCCCCACACUGGUACUGAGACACGGACCAGACUCC
rnacentral:rRNA from 1 species